rnacentral:rRNA from 1 species
UACCAGCACCCCGAGUGGUCGGGACGUUUAUUGGGCCUAAAGCAUCCGUAGCCGGUUCUACAAGUCUUCCGUUAAAUCCAGCUGCUUAACAGAUGGGCUGCGGAAGAUACUAUGGAGCUAGGAGGCGGGAGAGGCAAGCGGUACUCGAUGGGUAGGGGUAAAAUCCGUUGAUCCAUUGAAGACCACCAGUGGCGAAGGCGGCUUGCCAGAACGCGCUCGACGGUGAGGGAUGAAAGCUGGGG